GACGAACCGAGCGAACGUUAUUCGGAAUCACUGGGCUUAAAGGGCGCGUAGGCGGGCAAUCAAGUCAGGGGUGAAAGCCCCCAGCUCAACUGGGGAAGUGCCUCUGAUACUGGUGGUCUCGAGGGAGGUAGGGGCGUGCGGAACUUCCGGUGGAGCGGUGAAAUGCGUAGAUAUCGGAAGGAACACCGGUGGCGAAAGCGGCGCGCUGGACCUCUUCUGACGCUGAGGCGCGAAAGCCAGGGGAGCGAACGGG
rnacentral:rRNA from 1 species